GACGAACGCUGGCGGCGUGCUUAACACAUGCAAGUCGAGCGGUAAGGCCCUUUCGGGGGUACACGAGCGGCGAACGGGUGAGUAACACGUGGGUGACCUGCCCUCAGCUCUGGGAUAAGCCUGGGAAACUGGGUCUAAUACUGGAUAUGACUCCACGGUGCAUGUCGUGGGGUGGAAAGCCUUGUGCGGCUGAGGAUGGGCCCGCGGCCUAUCAGCUUGUUGGUGGGGNGAUGGCCUACCAAGGCGACGACGGGUAGCCGGCCUGAGAGGGCGACCGGCCACACUGGGACUGAGACACGGCCCAGACUCCUACGGGAGGCAGCAGUGGGGAAUCUUGCGCAAUGGGCGAAAGCCUGACGCAGCGACGCCGCGUGAGGGAUGACGGCCUGGUGUAACGUACUUCU
rnacentral:rRNA from 1 species